rnacentral:rRNA from 1 species
GACGAACGCUGGCGGCGUGCUUAACACAUGCAAGUCGAACGGAAAGGCCCUGCUUGCAGGGUACUCGAGUGGCGAACGGGUGAGUAACACGUGGGUGAUCUGCCCUGCACUUCGGGAUAAGCCUGGGAAACUGGGUCUAAUACCGGAUAGGAGCCAUUUUUAGUGUGAUGGUUGGAAAGUUUUUUCGGUGUAGGAUGAGCUCGCGGCCUAUCAGCUUGUUGGUGGGGUAAUGGCCUACCAAGGCGGCGACGGGUAGCCGGCCUGAGAGGGUGGACGGCCACAUUGGGACUGAGAUACGGCUCAGACUCCUACGGGAGGCAGCAGUGGGGAAUAUUGCACAAUGGGCGCAAGCCUGAUGCAGCGACGCCGCGUGGGGGAUGACGGCCUUCGGGUUGUAAACUCCUUUCGCUAGGGACGAAGCUUUUGUGACGGUACCUAGAUAAGAAGCACCGGCUAACUACGUG